AACAGGAUUAGAUACCCUGGUAGUCCACGCCGUAAACGAUGUCGACUUGGAGGUUGUUCCCUUGAGGAGUGGCUUCCGGAGCUAACGCGUUAAGUCGACCGCCUGGGGAGUACGGCCGCAAGGUUAAAACUCAAAUGAAUUGACGGGGGCCCGCACAAGCGGUGGAGCAUGUGGUUUAAUUCGAUGCAACGCGAAGAACCUUACCUACUCUUGACAUCCAGAGAACUUAGCAGAGAUGCUUUGGUGCCUUCGGGAACUCUGAGACAGGUGCUGCAUGGCUGUCGUCAGCUCGUGUUGUGAAAUGUUGGGUUAAGUCCCGCAACGAGCGCAACCCUUAUCCUUUGUUGCCAGCGGUUCGGCCGGGAACUCAAAGGAGACUGCCAGUGAUAAACUGGAGGAAGGUGGGGAUGACGUCAGGUCAUCAUGGCCCUUACGAGUAGGGCUACACACGUGCUACAAUGGCGCAUACAAAGAGAAGCGACCUCGCGAGAGCAAGCGGACCUCAUAAAGUGCGUCGUAGUCCGGAUCGGAGUCUGCAACUCGACUCCGUGAAGUCGGAAUCGCUAGUAAUCGUAGAUCAGAAUGCUACGGUGAAUACGUUCCCGGGCCUUGUACACACCGCCCGUCACACCAUGGGAGUGGGUUGCAAAAGAAGUAGGUAGCUUAACCUUCGGGAGGGCGCUUACCACUUUGUGAUUCAUGACUGGGGUGAAGUCGUAACAAGGUAACC
rnacentral:rRNA from 1 species